rnacentral:rRNA from 1 species
UGGGGAAUUUUGGACAAUGGGCGAAAGCCUGAUCCAGCAAUGCCGCGUGUGUGAAGAAGGCCUUCGGGUUGUAAAGCACUUUUGUCCGGAAAGAAAUCCUUGGCUCUAAUACAGUCGGGGGAUGACGGUACCGGAAGAAUAAGCACCGGCUAACUACGUGCCAGCAGCCGCGGUAAUACGUAGGGUGCAAGCGUUAAUCGGGAAUUACUGGGCGUAAAGCGUGCGCAGGCGGUUUGCUAAGACCGAUGUGAAAUCCCCGGGCUCAACCUGGGAACUGCAUUGGUGACUGGCAGGCUAGAGUAUGGCAGAGGGGGGUAGAAUUCCACGUGUAGCAGUGAAAUGCGUAGAGAUGUGGAGGAAUACCGAUGGCGAAGGCAGCCCCCUGGGCCAAUACUGACGCUCAUGCACGAAAGCGUGGGGAGCAAACAGGAUUAGAUACCCUGGUAGUCCACGCCCUAAACGAUGUCAACUAGUUGUUGGGGAUUCAUUCCUUAGUAACGUAGCUAACGCGUGAAGUUGACCGCCUGGGGAGUACGUCGCAAGAUUAAAACUU